ACUCAGCCCAGGCUUCCAGGCCCUCCUGGGCCCUCCUAUCCACUGAAGGAAAUGGGAGAUGAGUGGGUAAUGGAAAAGCCUUUGGAGUCAGAUGUAAAUCCAUGACUUGACCACUUAUUGCUGUGAGACCCUGGACAGCUGGAUAUAGAGUUCUUGUUCUAGCAUCCGCCCUGGGAAUCCCCGGAACUGGGCCUCUUACCGACACCAUUGCCUGUAAUCCACAAACCUAGGAGCACAUGGUUAAAGCAUGAGAUGUGAAACCAGGAAGAACCAGGUCUGAACCUUAGCUCCACCAGUGGUAGCUUCAAACCUUGGUCCUUUCUGAGCCUGCUUCUUCAACCGUAAGGAACUCGGAAACGGGACCCAGAAAGUUGUUUUCUCAAGUGGAUGGAACAACACAAGCAAUCAGUAUCCUGAAACAGGCCCUG
rnacentral:lncRNA from 1 species